UUCAGACGCUGGCAUAGUCUAUCACCUUGUCUUCCAGUCCCUAGCUCAGCCAAGACUCGCCACACAUUUCCGGCCGGUGAAUCGACUCUGAUACCAAAUGUAACGACCCAGCCCACUAGCAAUAAUAACUCGUUGAGCCCAACCACCGGCCCAAAAUGCUUAAGCCCAGUUAUUAUUACUAGUGUCUAAGUCUCUUAUAUACCCAAUCAUAUCUUCAUUCCUAUUCAAUGUGGGAUUAUUGGGGUAUAGUAGGUUGUUGCAAGUAGGUCUUCAAAAAAAG
rnacentral:lncRNA from 1 species